CCUACGGGAGGCAGCAGUAGGGAAUUUUCGGCAAUGGGGGGAACCCUGACCGAGCAACGCCGCGUGAACGAAGAAGUUAUUCGUAAUGUAAAGUUCUUUUAACAGGGAAGAAAGAGAAAUUUGACGGUACCUGAAGAAUAAGCUCCGGCGAACUACGUGCCAGCAGCCGCGGUAAUACGUAGGGAGCGAGCGUUAUCCGGAAGUAUUGGGCGAAAAGGGUGCGUAGAUGGCAUAGUAAGUCUUUUGUAAAAAUGCUGGGCUAAACCCAGUAGGGCAAAAGAUACUGCAAAGCUAGAGUAUGACAGAGGCAAGUGGAACUACAUGUGUAGCGGUAAAAUGCGUAAAUAUAUGUAAGAACACCAGUGGCGAAGGCGGCUUGCUGGGUCGAUACUGACAUUGAGGCACGAAAGCGUGGGGAGCAAACAGGAUUAGAUACCCCAGUAGUC
rnacentral:rRNA from 1 species